rnacentral:rRNA from 1 species
GACGAACGCUGGCGGCGUGCUUAACACAUGCAAGUCGAACGGAAAGGCCCUGCUUUUGUGGGGUGCUCGAGUGGCGAACGGGUGAGUAACACGUGAGUAACCUGCCCUUGACUUUGGGAUAACUUCAGGAAACUGGGGCUAAUACCGGAUAGGAGCUCCUGCUGCAUGGUGGGGGUUGGAGAGUUUCGGCGGUUGGGGAUGGACUCGCGGCUUAUCAGCUUGUUGGUGGGGUAGUGGCUUACCAAGGCUUUGACGGGUAGCCGGCCUGAGAGGGUGAACGGCCACAUUGGGACUGAGAUACGGCCCAGACUCCUACGGGAGGCAGCAGUGGGGAAUAUUGCACAAUGGGCGGAAGCCUGAUGCAGCAACGCCGCGUGCGGGAUGACGGCCUUCGGGUUGUAAACCGCUUUCGCCUGGGACGAAGCGUGAGUGACGGUAAUGGGUAAAGAAGCACCGGCUAACUACGUG